rnacentral:sRNA from 1 species
CGCGGAUUGGUUAAUUCGUCUCAGGCAUAAGUAAUUAUGCCUGGGACUUUUUGUUUUUCGCAGAAAAACGAGCGGAUUAUGAAUGUUUCCCAGGAUUGCGGGAGUGCGCAGCACGAAGCAAUCCGUAUCCCCG